GACGAACGCUGGCGGCGUGCUUAACACAUGCAAGUCGAACGGAAAGGCCCUGCUUUUGUGGGGUGCUCGAGUGGCGAACGGGUGAGUAACACGUGAGUAACCUGCCCUUGACUUUGGGAUAACUUCAGGAAACUGGGGCUAAUACCGGAUAGGAGCUCCUGCUGCAUGGUGGGGGUUAGAAAGUUUCGGCGGUUGGGGAUGGACUCGCGGCUUAUCAGCUUGUUGGUGGGGUAGUGGCUUACCAAGGCUUUGACGGGUAGCCGGCCUGAGAGGGUGACCGGCCACAUUGGGACUGAGAUACGGCCCAGACUCCUACGGGAGGCAGCAGUGGGGAAUAUUGCACAAUGGGCGGAAGCCUGAUGCAGCAACGCCGCGUGCGGGAUGACGGCCUUCGGGUUGUAAACCGCUUUCGCCUGUGACGAAGCGUGAGUGACGGUAAUGGGUAAAGAAGCACCGGCUAACUACGUGC
rnacentral:rRNA from 1 species